UUUCUUGCAGAUGUUUCACUACCCAAGCUAGAUAACAUCUAUAAUGUUACCCUGUUUGGGUAAUGAAAUGUCUGCAAGAAAAUAACCAAACUCAGAAGCAUCAAGGAUCCUUCAUUUCAUCCCUGAGCUUACAAGUAUUCUCCUCUAUU